rnacentral:rRNA from 1 species
AGGUAAGCUACUAAGAGCGAAUGGUGGAUGCCUUGACUGGUAAAGGCGAUGAAGGACGUACUAGACUGCGAUAAGCUACGGGGAGCUGUCAAGAAGCUUUGAUCCGUAGAUUUCCGAAUGGGGCAACCCAAUGUAUAGAGAUAUACAUUACCUAUAUAGGAGCGAACGAGGGGAAUUGAAACAUCUUAGUACCCUCAGGAAAAGAAAUCAAUAGAGAUUGCGUCAGUAGCGGCGAGCGAAAGCGCAAGAGGGCAAACCCAGUGCUUGCACUGGGGGUUGUAGGACUGCAAUGUGCAAGAGGUAAGUUUAGCAGAACAUUCUGGAAAGUAUAACCAUAGAGGGUGAUAGUCCCGUAUGCGAAAAACAAACCUUAGCUAGCAGUAUCCUGAGUAGGGCGGGACACGAGGAAUCCUGUCUGAAUCCGGGUCGACCACGAUCCAACCCUAAAUACUAAUACCAGAUCGAUAGUGCACAAGUACCGUGAGGGAAAGGUGAAAAGAACUGAGGUGAUCAGAGUGAAAUAGAACCUGAAACCAUUUGCUUACAAUCAUUCAGAGCCCUAUGUAGCAAUACAGGGUGAUGGACUGCCUUUUGCAUAAUGAGCCUGCGAGUUGUGGUGUCUGGCAAGGUUAAGCAAACGCGAAGCCGUAGCGAAAGCGAGUCUGAAUAGGGCGCUUAGUCAGAUGCUGCAGACCCGAAACGAAGUGAUCUAUCCAUGAGCAAGUUGAAGCUAGUGUAAGAACUAGUGGAGGACUGAACCCAUAGGCGUUGAAAAGCCCCGGGAUGACUUGUGGAUAGGGGUGAAAGGCCAAUCAAACUUCGUGAUAGCUGGUUCUCUCCGAAAUAUAUUUAGGUAUAGCGUUGUGUCGUAAUAUAAGGGGGUAGAGCACUGAAUGGGCUAGGGCAUACACCAAUGUACCAAACCCUAUCAAACUCCGAAUACCUUAUAUGUAAUCACAGCAGUCAGGCGGCGAGUGAUAAAAUCCGUCGUCAAGAGGGAAACAACCCAGACUACCAGCUAAGGUCCCUAAAUCUUACUUAAGUGGAAAACGAUGUGAAGUUACUUAAACAACCAGGAGGUUGGCUUAGAAGCAGCCAUCCUUUAAAGAAAGCGUAAUAGCUCACUGGUCUAGUGAUUUUGCGCGGAAAAUAUAACGGGGCUAAAGUAAGUACUGAAGCUGUAGACUUAGUUUACUAAGUGGUAGGAGAGCGUUCUAUUUGCGUCGAAGGUAUACCGGUAAGGAGUGCUGGAGCGAAUAGAAGUGAGCAUGCAGGCAUGAGUAGCGAUAAUUAAUGUGAGAAUCAUUAACGCCGUAAACCCAAGGUUUCCUACGCGAUGCUCGUCAUCGUAGGGUUAGUCGGGUCCUAAGUCGAGUCCGAAAGGGGUAGACGAUGGCAAAUUGGUUAAUAUUCCAAUACCAACAUUAGUGUGCGAUGGAAGGACGCUUAGGGCUAAGGGGGCUAGCGGAUGGAAGUGCUAGUCUAAGGUCGUAGGAGGUUAUACAGGCAAAUCCGUAUAACAAUACUCCGAGAACUGAAAGGCUUUUUGAAGUCUUCGGAUGGAUAGAAGAACCCCUGAUGCCGUCGAGCCAAGAAAAGUUUCUAAGUUUAGCUAAUGUUGCCCGUACCGUAAACCGACACAGGUGGGUGGGAUGAGUAUUCUAAGGCGCGUGGAAGAACUCUCUUUAAGGAACUCUGCAAAAUAGCACCGUAUCUUCGGUAUAAGGUGUGGUUAGCUUUGUAUUAGGAUUUACUCCGAAAGCAAGGAAACUUACAACAAAGAGUCCCUCCCGACUGUUUACCAAAAACACAGCACUCUGCUAACUCGUAAGAGGAUGUAUAGGGUGUGACGCCUGCCCGGUGCUCGAAGGUUAAUUGAUGGGGUUAGCAUUAGCGAAGCUCUUGAUCGAAGCCCGAGUAAACGGCGGCCGUAACUAUAACGGUCCUAAGGUAGCGAAAUUCCUUGUCGGUUAAAUACCGACCUGCAUGAAUGGCGUAACGAGAUGGGAGCUGUCUCAAAGAGGGAUCCAGUGAAAUUGUAGUGGAGGUGAAAAUUCCUCCUACCCGCGGCAAGACGGAAAGACCCCGUGGACCUUUACUACAGCUUGACACUGCUACUUGGAUAAGAAUGUGCAGGAUAGG